ACCAGACUCCUACGGGAGGCAGCAGUGGGGAAUAUUGGGCAAUGGGCGCAAGCCUGACCCAGCAACGCCGCGUGAAGGAAGAAGGCUUUCGGGUUGUAAACUUCUUUUAUGAGGGACGAAACAAAUGACGGUACCUCAUGAAUAAGCCACGGCUAACUACGUGCCAGCAGCCGCGGUAAUACGUAGGUGGCAAGCGUUAUCCGGAUUUACUGGGUGUAAAGGGCGUGUAGGCGGGACUGCAAGUCAGAUGUGAAAAUUAUGGGCUCAACCCAUAACCUGCAUUUGAAACUGUAGGUCUUGAGUGAUGGAGAGGCAGGCGGAAUUCCGUGUGUAGCGGUGAAAUGCGUAGAUAUACGGAGGAACACCAGUGGCGAAGGCGGCCUGCUGGACAUUAACUGACGCUGAGGCGCGAAAGCGUGGGGAGCAAACAGGAUUAGAUACCCCCGUAU
rnacentral:rRNA from 1 species